AUUGAACGCUGGCGGCAGGCCUAACACAUGCAAGUCGAACGAGCGGCGGACGGGUGAGUAAUGUAUGGGAAACUGCCCGAUAGAGGGGGAUAACUACUGGAAACGGUAGCUAAUACCGCAUACCAUCGGAUGUACCCAUAUGGGAUUAGCUAGGAGGUGGGGUAAAGGCUCACCUAGGCGACGAUCCCUAGCUGGUCUGAGAGGAGGAACAGCCACACUGGGACUGAGACACGGUCCAGAAUCCUACGGGAGGCAGCAGUGGGGAAUAUUGCACAAUGGGCGCAAGCCUGAUGCAGCCAUGCCGCGUGUGUGAAGAAGGCCUUCGGGUUGUAAAGUACUUUCAGCGGGGAGGCGUUACCCGCAGAAGAAGCACCGGCUAACUCCGUGCCAGCAGCCGCGGUAAUAC
rnacentral:rRNA from 1 species